GAUGAACGCUAGCGGCAGGCUUAAUACAUGCAAGUCGAGGGGCAGCAUGAUUGUAGCAAUACAAUUGAUGGCGACCGGCAAACGGGUGCGGAACACGUACACAACCUCCCAAUAAGUGGGGAAUAGCCCAGAGAAAUUUGGAUUAAUACCCCGUAACAUAACGAUGUGGCAUCACAUUGUUAUUAUAGAUUUUUCGCUUAUUGAUGGGUGUGCGGCUGAUUAGAUAGUUGGCGGGGUAACGGCCCACCAAGUCUACGAUCAGUAGCUGAUGUGAGAGCAUGAUCAGCCACACGGGAACUGAGACACGGGCCCGACUCCUACGGGAGGCAGCAGUAAGGAAUAUUGGACAAUGGACGCAAGUCUGAUCCAGCCAUGCCGCGUGAAGGAUUAAGGUCCUCAGGAUUGUAAACUUCUUUUAUAAGGGACGAAAAAAGGCUUUUCUAAGUCGUCUGACGGUACCUUAUGAAUAAGCACCGGCUAACUCCGUGCCAGCAGCCGCAGUAACAC
rnacentral:rRNA from 1 species